GGGUUUGUGGCUCAGUGGUAGAGUUCUUGCCUAGCAUGCAAGAACUAGCAAGGGUGUGUGGUUCGAUCCUCAGCACCA
rnacentral:tRNA from 1 species